rnacentral:rRNA from 1 species
UAAUACGGAGGGUGCAAGCGUUAUCCGGAUUCACUGGGUUUAAAGGGUGUGUAGGCGGGUAUUUAAGUCAGUGGUGAAAUCUCUGAGCUCAACUCAGAAACUGCCAUUGAUACUAUUUAUCUUGAAUAUCGUUGAGGUUGGCGGAAUAUAUCAUGUAGCGGUGAAAUGCAUAGAUAUGAUAUAGAACACCGAUUGCGAAGGCAGCUAACUAAGCGAUGAUUGACGCUGAGGCACGAAAGCGUGGGGAUCAAACAGGAUUAGAUACCCUGGUAGUCCACGCCCUAAACGAUGAUUACUCGACAUACGCGAUACACAGUGUGUGUCUGAGCGAAAGCAUUAAGUAAUCCACCUGGGAAGUACGUCCGCAAGGAUGAAACUUAAAUGAAUUGACGG